GAUUAGAAAAGCACAGUUUUCUGACCUUUCUAAGGUCACAACAACAAAAAGUCUCUGCACAACACAGAGGCACUUUUUGCUUUCAUGUCUGCAGCUGAGCAGAGCCCACCUGUCAGUCACCCGGUGCGGGUUAGACAGCGACAUCUCUCAUCCUGUCCCUCCUGUUCCAGCAGUCUGCGUUCGGAGCAGAACGAGGCGCAGCCUGACCGUGACGAAGGGCCUCAGUCCCCUCAGCGUGUAAUGAGACGACGUCUGGAUCAACUCCUCAGCUGC